AAAAAUUAUAAGUAAAAUAGAAAUUUAUUUCUCAUGGUUCUAGAGGCUGGAAAAUUCAAGAUCAAGAUGCAGACAGGUUUAGUGUCUGCUGAGGGCUGCUUUCUAUGCUUCAAGAUGGCACCACAUUGCUGUGUUCUUAUAUGGUGGAGGCAAGUGUGUUGAAUAUUCUAAGAAGAAUUGGAAGGUGUUAUCGUAUUAUGGAAGACAGAUCCAAGAUGGUGGCAGUGGUUAAGAAGGAUGCGGGAAGCACCCUUCAACUCUAAUGUUAUUUGAGCUGCUCACUGAAAAGUCAAUAGGACUCUCCCAGUUGGGGAAGAGGGAAAGGUUUUUCGGGAGCAGAUUCGACAAGUAACAUUGAGAACACAAAGUGUAUUUCUCCAUAGAUGGUAACACUAGGUGUUGAGGAGACAUAACCAAGUUCUCCUGCAGUUUGUGUGUUCAGGCAGAUGGAAAUGUCUUGUAACUCAGUAAAACAGUUUAGAAAUUUAAGGCCUUUGGAGAGAGUAAGUAUUGAGAAGGCACAUCUUCUACAUUGUUGACAUGAAGGAGUUGCAGGGUUGGGUAGAGGGGAUCAGUGGCACGUCUAGUGGGCUUCGUUUGUAAGGCCUGAUUUCUAACAGAUCAUGCUGUAAGCUUCAAAUGGGAGGUGUGCCUGGGAUGGUUGCAGAGGAGUGGUUAAGAGCUCAGACUCCAGAGUUUAGAUAGCACCAAGCUGCCACACAGGACACUGUGCAUUUCUAAAUCUGAGUUUCUGCACAUGUAAGGAGGAGUAAUAUGGUAUCUCCUCAUUCAGUUGAGAUGCUCUGGAGUACACAUGCAAGACACUCAACUCACGGUGGCUCCACCAGUGUGAAAAUGUGUUAUCUCCCCUAAUCUGAAGUACAGAAGUCAGGUGGUCAGAGGUGACAUGCCAUGGUGUGGCUCUGCUUCUCUGAGAUUCUCUAUCAACUUUUCCCUCAGUUUCACCCUCCUUUCUCCCUGUUUGAAGAUGGUUUCAGCACUUCCAGACAUCAUAACCAGACAGCCUGUUGCUAGAGAAGAAAGACACCUUCUCUUCCUAUAUGUACCUCUUAGGAACAAGAGAACCUUUUCUCACGGCCCCUCAACACACUUAGGCUGACAUCCCAUUGGCCAGAACUGUAUCAAAUCUAAGUAGCCUCAAAUGAAGCAUCUGGGAGCACCAGGACUGGGUCUUUAGGCCAUGGAAGAGUAACAGCCCAGUACACAGCUGUCUCCAGUGGCCAGCACGUAGACCUUUCCUCACACUUUCCACUGUUUGCAUCCACCCUUCCCUCACAUGUGUUUCUAUUACAUGGAGUCUCACUUUAUAGUCCUCAUUGAGAGACUAUGGUGUGGUAGACAGAUACCAACUUUAACCUCAGACAAUUGGGUUUUGGAUUUAGGUUACCACCAUUUAUCUUCUCUGUAACCUCAGACGAGUUGCUUGAGCUCUCUGAGUCUCAGCUUACCAAGCUCUAAAAUGGGCAUAACCAUAUCAGUUUGUUUUUCCUGUUACAGGGACAACAGACUGAGAUAACUAAAGUACCUGAUUGAGUAACUGCUCUCUGAAGGUGGAGGCUGGACUGCUUCACUGGACGGGGUGUCCUGGGGUUAUUUUAGUGCCGUGGUAGUUGGUGACAAAACUGAAAGAAGAUGUAACUAGAGAAAAGGUACUCAAUACAGGCUCUAUGAGCUACCACCACUGCCUCUAGUUUUCUAGAAAACCACCACCAGCCACUCUCUGUACAAAUGCGCUCAAGUGACCAUAACCACCAGUGUUUGUAACAAUGCGCCUAUUGACUUCUUAUUUCAAUAGAUAUCCAGAUUUAUUAUCCCUCAAGGUAAGCAUCGAUUUUACCUUUGUCUCAGUCAAUAUUUACCUCUGAGGUCAAUACGUGUGGAUAUUCACCUCAGCUGCAGUCAAUAUCCAUUUCGUAUUACAAUAUAUGAUGUGCAUAUGUGAAAAUAAAGAACAGCACGGUACAAAAAAGGUCUGCUAGUCAAGGAAGCUUUUUGCAAAGCGGAUGUGUUUUUCUAUUUGUUUGUUUGUUUGUUUUUACUGUAUCACUCUUUGGAGGUCAGGUUCUAUUUCAUUAAAUAGGACAUAUGUGUCUUCUGCCAAGAUGCGGAAUUUUGGGAAGGCUAGCGUGAUAACAAAUAAACAUUCAAGCAGCCACUUAAUGAUAUUGAGUUGAACACAAUUUCUCAGAAGUCUCUGCAUUAAAUUACAGCUGUAAGAACAUACGCAAGCAGCACAUUCCAAGUGUGAUGAGAAUGGAAACAUUCCAUAGGACACAGAGUUAUUCCUCAAGCCCCUGGACUCGCAGAGAAUCAGGUGUAUGAAGCAAGCGGAAAAAGACAAGAAUCAGGAAGCAAAGAGAAGGAGGAAGAAGCAUCAGUGGAGUUGCUUCUUUUUAAUUUUUAAAACCAGAGCUGGAAGACAAGGCCUGGCAUACAUCCACCAUCAUCGAUGACCUGGGCUCCUCUUCUCUUUCUGCUUUGUGACAUUGCUUCCAUCUUCAUGGUAACUCGCUGUCCAGAAUGACCACAGGCAGCAUGAAAACAAAAAGGUCGAGAGGGCACUAACUUCCUCGCUUUUGAAGAGCUUUCUAAGAAGCCACACCCAACGCUACUGCUUCUCUCCCAGUGGUGAUGAUUUAGUUGCUUGAGCACAGAUAACUGCCAGGGAGGCUGGGAAGUGCAGCCUUCAGUCCUAGCACCAAUGUGUCUAGGCAAAUAUAAAAGCUCUGUAGCGAAGGAAGAAGUGACAACGAAUAUUUGCAAACCAGGUGUCAUUGCCCUCCCCACCCUACCUUGUUCCCCUGGAGUGUAUCCUGAUUCUGUUGAGGAUCACUUGAUCCUGAUUUUAUUUAUAUAUAGACAUAGAUAUAGGUAGAUAGAUAGAUAGAUAGAUAGAUAGAUAGAUAGAUAGAUAGAUAUGUAGAUAUAUAUAGAGAGAUAUAGAUAGAUAGAUAGAUAGAUAGAUAGAUAGAUAGAUAUGUAGAUAUAUAUAUAGAUAGAUGAGAUUUCGUUAUAUUGCCCAGACUGGUCUCAAACUCCUGGCCUCAAGCAGUGCAGCCACCUCGGCCUCCCAAAGCGCUGGGAUUAUAGGCUUGAACACCAUGCCUGGCUUUGAUACUGAUAUUUUAUUGUUGUAACUCACAGUUUUGUCUGCCCAGCAUUGUCCCCCCAUCACACUUGUACUAUCCCAUUUUCCUUUGCCAUGCACCUGUCUUCCUCUUCAGUUUUGAUCACAAAAUCACAAUUCCUGACAGCCAUAGAGGUGGGCACAUGACUCAGGUCAGACCAGUCACAGUUCUUGACUCCCGGCCACAGUGCUUGAUGGGAGAAUGAGCAUAUAUGAAACCAAGACAGUCCAAGUUCUUCUGGGAACUUUGCUGCCACAGUUGUUGGGGGAGGUAUUUGCAUAACUUCACCACACACAGCUAAGCUGGGGAUCCUGCUGCUUGGCAGCAUCUUCCCAGCGUACAACAGAGGAAAACUGCCUGUUGCAGAAGAAAAAAAAAUGGGACUGAUACACAAAGAGAAUCAGAAAGGAGCAGAGAUGAAACAAAGACAGAGCCAGCAGGAGUGCAAGCUAAGGACAUACCAGGAGCUCCUGGGUCAGCUGGCCCAUACAUUUGUAAGCUGUAGACAAACAAAAAUUAUCUUUGGGUUCCUUCUUUAGCGAUUGGAGUUGGAGGAGGAUGACCUUAGUUUGUGUCUUUGUCGCACUGUCAUUAUAUCCAGCUUGUGUAAUCAGAAACACUAUUUAAGUCUCAGUUUCGCUGGGCACAGUGGCUCAUGCCUGUAAUCCCAGCACUUUGGGAGGCCGAGGCAGGUGGAUCACGAGGUCAGGAGAUCGAGACCAUCCUGGCUAACAUGGUGAAACCCCGUCUCUAUGAAAAAUGUAAAAAAUUAGCCGGGCGUAGUGGUGGGCGCCUGUAGUCCCAGCUACUCGGGAGACUGAGGCAGGAGAAUGGCGCGAACCCAGGAGGCGGAGCUUGCAGUGAGCCGUGAUUGCACCACUGCACUCCAGCCUGGGUGACAGAGCAAGACUCCGUCUCAAAAAAAAAAAAAAAAAAAAAAAAAGUCUCAGUUUCGUCUCCUGUCAAUUGGGAAAAUAUCGUGAGGCUGAGAUGUGAUCAUGUUUGUAAAGUCCGCAGCAGGAGCGUGAUAAAGUCACUUCUCAACUCCUUCUCCUGGCUUAUUAAUGUCCAUCCUUUAACCUGUCCUCUGCUUUGUCUCUUGGAAUCCUUAGGGCCUUUUUAACCCCAUCUAUGAAGCAAACCUACGUGUAUGUGUGUGUGUGUGUACAUCAAUUCAUAUGGUCCUCUGCAGCCUUGCAAAGUCGAUUCCUGACAUUUCCCUAGACUGUUUUUUUUUUUUUUCCAGCAAUACUCUCCAGCAGCAAAACCCGAUCCACUCAUAUUUUUGCAUUUGCUGCAGCAAAGCCUGACGUCUCUUUGUGUUACCUGACUCUGGACAAAGAAGGCCGAGGAAGGUCCCCCGCAAGUUGUCCUGUUGUCUCUUGGCUGGUCUUGCCAGCUGGCACACGGCUUGCUCUGACCACCCUGCAAGAUAGAUUCUGGCUAUGUCACCCAAGGUCUAGCACAGUGGCAUGAUUUCGGCUCACUGCAGCUUCCUCCUCUCAGGCUCAAGAGAUCUUCUUGCCUUAGCCCUCCAGAUUGCUGCAAGGCCCGCUUCUCAAGAAAGCAACUUGUGCUACCUCCUGCGUGCUUUUAUGCUUCACUGUGAAGUGCAAAGUUGGGCUGGCAGGCCUGGCUUUCUUCUCCGCUUUAUGUAUGAUUCAUCAAGAGGACUGCAGGCUUUGGUUUUUCAUUGCUGAGAACAGUUCCAGCUCUGCUGACCAAAGGGCUGAGCGUCCUUUUGUUAGUCUGACCCCGUAGGGAGCCCAAAGAGGCAACCCUCCGGCCAACUGACAGCCAGCUGUGGGGUUGGACACCCUGUUUUCCACACCACUGAGCACUCUUGAACCCAGAGAAGGUGCAGGCACAAAAAUGCUGUUUGAUUGGGAGAGCAAGUGGAGCUGUUAAAAGUUCUAGGGACGGUCGGGCAUGGUGGCUCAUGUCUGUAAUCCCAGCACUUUGGGAGGCUGAGGCAGGUGGAUCACAAGAUGCCUGGUUGUCCCGUUAAUCCGUUGUCCAAAAAGCCUGAGGAAGGAUGGCAGGUGGACUUGGAUCUCGGCCACUACCUUAGAUCCUGAUCAGGGGACCUCUGCGACUGCUCACCUGGGAGGAACUCCAGGAGCUCUGAUGUGUUGUCCUUGACUGGGCAAGAAGGGGAGGAGAAUUGUGAAACAUGCAGAAUUAGAAGUCAUGCACCUGGGUUUGUAUCCUGGCUGUGCCACUUAUUUUCUGGUGGGUGGAGAGGGCAGACAAGUUGCUCAUCCUCUGUACACCUCAGUUUCUUCAUGUGCAAAAUGAAGAUGUUAGUUGUUUCUUUAUUCAAGGGUUGUUGAGAGGACGAAGUGCUAAAAAUGCUUGAACAGCAUUUGCACAGGCAGUAACACAGGAAGUGCUCCCUACUUAGCGUGGACAACAUCAUCUCCGUCCACAUCAGUGUUAUCAUCGUCGUCAUGAAAAGCCCUGGCCAUCAUUUUGCCUUUGACCCGGAUGUCCAUGUUGGAAAAACAGCUAGUGGAAGGCAUGCCCAAAUCUCAGAAGUUGGCCUUUCCGUGCAGAUGUCAUUGGUGGCCAUUGUAGGGGAAAAAGAUGCUUUGGAAACCCGGACACAGAGAAAAGUACCUCGUAUUACACAGAGUCAAGAGAGGUCACUGUGGAAGUACAGAAGAAGCCUUGGCCUAAUUGCACGGAUAAUACAAUUCCGUAACUCAUCCUGCCAACACGAAGGUAGAUGGACGAUCCCUAUCCUCGCUGUGGAACAUUGCCCGUGUUUUCCUAGGAGAGACAUCUGCACUCCAGUAGUGAUUAAAAUGCCUUUGACAGGCUCUUGCUAUUAAGAGUUUCUGGCUCCAGUUUAAUAAAAGGUAGUAUAUUAUAAUGGAAACCAGGUUAUUAUUGAUAAGGACUAGACAUAUUAUAAACCAGGUUAAAGCUUUGAUAAUCCCACAUGCAAGGGGAGGGAGCUAAGGGUUAUUGCAAACCUACUAUGUGUCAAUUGCUCUAGUAGACACCUCAGAGACAUUACAGCCAAAGAGUCCCACCUUUGGAUAAACCCAGUUUGGCCUCUCUGAUAUAUUAAUAUAUUUAAUCAUCAGACUUUCAGUGUUAAAGGAGAUUACAGUAGAGGCGUCCAGUUGAUUGGGGAAUAGUUGCUGCGAAUGAUAAGCUCUUUUGAAUAAACCGAUACUGACUUAAUGAGGUUCUGCUGUGUAUUAUCUUUUUUUCCUAAUAGAAAAUAGAGUGGCUACCCUCCCCAUCCGCUGUUUGCUUCCUGGUAAUGACCCUCUUUUCUCUCACUCCAUGGGAACUUUUAAAAUUGAUAAGUAAUGGAUUUUUAGCCUCAAGUUUCUGGAAUUCUAAGAGGGCCUGAAAGGUAAGUGCUCACUUACCGAGAUGUGUGAACAAAAACAGGCAGCCUAGCUCAGCAAGUAAGAAUGGAGUGGCAUCUCCCCGCCUGCUCUGGAGUCAUGCGUUUGCUUCUGGAAGGGCAUCAAGAGGCAUUCAACCUCCUGUUAAUUUGGUUGCUUCUUCAGAUACCCUCUUCAUGGUGCAGCCCUGAGCUGGAACAUUUAAAGACCAGUUGUUAAGGACCAAUCUGAGAGCCUGUGCAUUGGUUAAAACUCCUUAUCUGGCCAUAGAGGGUGGUGUGGUUUGGACGCGUUCCCCUUGUCUGUCCAAUUCCCAACAGAGGCAAGUGCACAUCUGAGACAGGUUGAGGGUUCAAGCUGUCCAAUCCCUGCUCAUCUGCAGCACACCCAGGAACGUGGACUAAUGAAAAAUAAAUUGCACGCCUGACAUGCCCAUCACGCUGCCCGCAUUUUCUAAUCAUCACAAUAACUCUGUGGUGAGAAAUAUUUCUGCCUGUAAUCCCGGCACUUUGGGAGGCUGAAGUGGGCGGAUCACUGGAGGUCAGGAGUUCGAGACCAGCCUGGCCAACAUGGUGAACUCCCCGCCACCAACGCCCCUCCCCAUCAUCUCUACUAAAAAUACAAAAAAUAGCUGGGCAUGGUGGAGGGCACUUAUAAUCCCAGCUACUUGGGAGGCU